rnacentral:lncRNA from 1 species
GAACUUCUCGCGAGCUCCCACGAGAUGUGGACGACAUAAAGGAAGUCCGGACGCCCUGGGAACCUCGCUGUGGUGAAUUCCCAUAUCCUUCGUUGUGUUUCUCAGACGCAGCGUGUACUUUUAUUUUUGCUUUUAUCUUCUUUUUCUCCUGUUCUGCCCACGUUCUCUCUGCAGAGCAAGAAGGACCUGGACUACUUUGGAUUGGCGAACCAUUGCUAAAGGAACUACCAGACAACAGAGGCACUGAACAGAUACUAUUUGCCAGAAAGAUUUCACCUCUUUGAGUACUGAAGACUUUCGUUUCAUAAGAUUAAAUUUAAUGCCAGAAUUCUUUACUGGAACUGGAGGAAAAAGAGAUGCACAUCAGGAAACAGCUGAUAAUGUGAAUCUGGAGUAUGAUCCAACAAGAGCAAGGGUUUGCCUUUAACCAAGUCAGAAAGGACCCAGUCUUUGUGAAAACAUCAUUAUGGUAACAACUUGAAAAUAAGCGGUCUUUGCAUUUGAAAUUCAGUGUGAUGCCUGCUGGGGAACUGCAAAGGGCUCUCCCAGCCCCAGCUCUGUUCCAACAGCAAGGCUGAUAGAGUCAAUUUCAGGCUGCAUCUGAGGCUAUAGAUUGAGAAGAUUUCCCCAAAC